rnacentral:piRNA from 1 species
UCGAAAUCAGUCUUCAGCAUAUUGUAGGUC